GACGAACGCUGGCGGCGUGCUUAACACAUGCAAGUCGAACGGAAAGGCCCUGCUUUUGUGGGGUGCUCGAGUGGCGAACGGGUGAGUAACACGUGAGUAACCUGCCCUUGACUUUGGGAUAACUUCAGGAAACUGGGGCUAAUACCGGAUAGGAGCUCCUGCUGCAUGGUGGGGGUUGGAAAGUUUCGGCGGUUGGGGAUGGACUCGCGGCUUAUCAGCUUGUUGGUGGGGUAGUGGCUUACCAAGGCUUUGACGGGUAGCCGGCCUGAGAGGGUGACCGGCCUCCUUGGGACUGAGAUACGGACCAGACUCCUACGGGAGGCAGCAGUGGGGAGUAUUGCGCAAUGGGCGGAAGCCUGAUGCAGCAACGCCGCGUGCGGGAUGACGGCCUUCGGGUUGUAAACCGCUUUCGCCUGUGACGAAGCGUGAGUGACGGUAAUGGGUAAAGAAGCACCGGCUAACUACGUG
rnacentral:rRNA from 1 species